CACAGCUGGACCUGAAGGGCUAUGUGGACCAGUGCAAGGGACUCCUUGGUAUCAACCAGCAUGCACUGAUAAGCCAGUCUCCAAGGAGGUCUUUAUGGGUUCUUGCCUUGCUGUUCAUCCUCUGGGAUUUGAAAACUGCUCUUAGUCUCUGGACAGAGUCUACUUGUCUUGCCUGGUUUGAAUCCACGGAUCAUCUGCAGAACACAGAGACCGAGACUUAUCUCCCGACCAAUGAACAUCCGCCAAAAUCUCUCCCUAUCCACAGGCCAACAAACUUACUGCUUGGACUCUGGCUGGACUCCCCCUCUUUACGCUCCUUGUUCAUCAAGACAGCCCGCCUCAAACCCGCAACGGACUUGCCUGUAGCUUGCUACAGCAUUCAUUCACUGAACUGCAAUUCUUCUGCUAGUCCUGAAUAAACUCAAUUUCUG
rnacentral:lncRNA from 1 species